GUCUCAAAGACUAAGCCAUGCAUGUGUUAGUAUGAACUGAAUUUAUAUAGUGAAACUGCGAAUGGCUCAUUACAUCAGUUAUAGUUUAUUUUGAUAGAUAUGCGUUCAGCACUACAUGGAUACCUGUAGUAACAUAGAGCUAAUACAUGCAUAAGAAUCUGACUUUACGGAAGGAUUUGCACUUAUUAGAUACCAAACCAAUAUCCUCUCGGGGAUUUAUUAGGUGAAUCACAAUAACUGAACAAAUCGCAUAGUCUUGCACUGGCGAUGUAUCAAUCAAGUUUCUGCCCUAUCAACUUGAUGUUAGUGUAUUGUACUAACAUGGUUUUUACGGGUAACAGAGGAUUAGGGUUCGAUCCUGGAGAAGGAGCAUGAGAAAUGGCUACUAUUUCUAAGGAAAGCAGCAGGCGC
rnacentral:rRNA from 1 species